UGCGGCGGCCAUAGCGAAAGGGAAACACCCGGUCCCAUCCCGAACCCGGAAGUUAAGCCUUUCAGCGCCGAUGGUACUGCGAGGGAGGCCUCGCGGGAGAGUAGGACACCGCCGGAA
rnacentral:rRNA from 1 species